rnacentral:rRNA from 1 species
UACGUAGGGGGCAAGCGUUGUCCGGAAUCAUUGGGCGUAAAGCGCGCGCAGGCGGUCAGAGGCGUCGGUGCUCAAAGUCCACCGCUUAACGGUGGGAGGCGUGCCGAUACGCUCUGACUGGAGGGCGGGCGAGGGUGGUGGAAUUGCCGGUGUAGUGGUGAAAUGCGUAGAUAUCGAGAGGAACACCUGCGGCGAAGGCGGGUUGCUGGGCCGACACUGACGCUGAUGCGCGAAAGCCAGGGGAGCGAACGGG